rnacentral:rRNA from 1 species
UACGUAGGUGACAAGCGUUGUCCGGAUUUACUGGGCGUAAAGAGCGCGCAGGCGGUCGAUCAAGUCGAGUGUGAAAGCCCCCGGCUCAACUGGGGAGGGUCAUUCGAUACUGAUCGACUCGAAGGCAGGAGAGGGGUAGUGGAAUCCCCGGUGUAGUGGUGAAAUGCGUAGAUAUCGGGGAGGAACACCAGUGGGCGAAGGCGGUCUCUGGGCAUUACCCUGACGCUGAGGAGCGAAAGUGUGGGGAGCGAACAGGAU